AUCAAGUUCCUAACCCUUCCUCCAAGUUGAUUUUCACAUAGCAAUACAACUACAAGUUGAUUGAAAGAAACUACAACGAGAAAGCAGUACAUACUGAUCCAUACCCUCCUCCAGUCUGCUUCCUACUCAUAGAACUUGAAGGUAAAUCACUUUCCACAAAAUACUAUAUAUGCAUACAAAAGCUUGAGCAUCUGACACAGCACAAAAUGAAACCAUCUCCUCCCCAAUGGAUUUGACCAAACAUUCAUCAGCUAAUAGAAUGGGUCAAGCGCUCGAAUGAAAGGAGCAUUUCAAAACAAAGCUGACACUGUUGACUAGGAAGAAGGAACUUAUCAUUUCCAUUUCAGAUCCAAACUAACAGCACCCAUGUCAUCACACACCAAAAUAUACGGUUCCAAGAUGUGUAAACCAUCAUAAGCUAAAAUUGCAAUACACACAAAAAUUUAUACUGGAAUCAAGUCAAUUGACAAAAACUGCACUAAGAAGAGCGAGAAGCAGAGAGUUUAAGGCAUUCACUUUGACAUCUCCGAAGGCAAAUAUCAUUCCAGUUGGGUACUUGAUGCUGGUUAACACAGACAGUCCGGGCACAAGCAUCAGAGCAAGCAUCUAGCUCUGAUACACCACAAACAGUAACACAAGUAUCAUGACUCGGGUCUUUAGAGAAUGUACCCACCUUCUUCAACAUUCUUUUUGAUGUACAGACCCUCUCACAGACAAAUAUCUCAUCAGAGGUCUUCUCCCUCCCCCUGGCACUCUUAAUUCUCUGCUCUUCAGCAUGCCUUCUUUUCAUUCUCAAAGCUUGCCCUGCAACAAUGGCUGGAAUAGCAGCCCCCAACAGGGACCACCAUACUUCCACCAUCUGCAGAGAUUAGGUUCUUUCCUUUUGUCCUCUUCUUCUGCACUCU